AAACGGGUUAAUAUUCCCGUACUUGGUGUUACUGCGAAGGGGGGACGGAGAAGGCUAUGUUGGCCGGGCGACGGUUGUCCCGGUUUAAGCGUGUAGGUGUGUGUUCCAGGUAAAUCCGGUUCACUUUAACACUGAGGCGUGACGACGAGGCACUACGGUGCUGAAGCAACAAAUGCCCUGCUUCCAGGAAAAGCCUCUAAGCAUCAGGUAACAUCAAAUCGUACCCCAAACCGACACAGGUGGUCAGGUAGAGAAUACCAAGGCGCUUGAGAGAACUCGGGUGAAGGAACUAGGCAAAAUGGUGCCGUAACUUCGGGAGAAGGCACGCUGACACGUAGGUGAAGUGAUUUACUCAUGGAGCUGAAGUCAGUCGAAGAUACCAGCUGGCUGCAACUGUUUAUUAAAAACACAGCACUGUGCAAACACGAAAGUGGACGUAUACGGUGUGACGCCUGCCCGGUGCCGGAAGGUUAAUUGAUGGGGUCAGCGCAAGCGAAGCUCCUGAUCGAAGCCCCGGUAAACGGCGGCCGUAACUAUAACGGUCCUAAGGUAGCGAAAUUCCUUGUCGGGUAAGUUCCGACCUGCACGAAUGGCGUAAUGAUGGCCAGGCUGUCUCCACCCGAGACUCAGUGAAAUUGAACUCGCUGUGAAGAUGCAGUGUACCCGCGGCAAGACGGAAAGACCCCGUGAACCUUUACUAUAGCUUGACACUGAACAUUGAGCCUUGAUGUGUAGGAUAGGUGGGAGGCUUUGAAGUGUGGACGCCAGUCUGCAUGGAGCCGACCUUGAAAUACCACCCUUUAAUGUUUGAUGUUCUAACGUGGACCCGUUACCCGGGUUGCGGACAGUGUCUGGUGGGUAGUUUGACUGGGGCGGUCUCCUCCUAAAGAGUAACGGAGGAGCACGAAGGUUGGCUAAUCCUGGUCGGACAUCAGGAGGUUAGUGCAAUGGCAUAAGCCAGCUUGACUGCGAGCGUGACGGCGCGAGCAGGUGCGAAAGCAGGUCAUAGUGAUCCGGUGGUUCUGAAUGGAAGGGCCAUCGCUCAACGGAUAAAAGGUACUCCGGGGAUAACAGGCUGAUACCGCCCAAGAGUUCAUAUCGACGGCGGUGUUUGGCACCUCGAUGUCGGCUCAUCACAUCCUGGGGCUGAAGUAGGUCCCAAGGGUAUGGCUGUUCGCCAUUUAAAGUGGUACGCGAGCUGGGUUUAGAACGUCGUGAGACAGUUCGGUCCCUAUCUGCCGUGGGCGCUGGAGAACUGAGGGGGGCUGCUCCUAGUACGAGAGGACCGGAGUGGACGCAUCACUGGUGUUCGGGUUGUCAUGCCAAUGGCACUGCCCGGUAGCUAAAUGCGGAAGAGAUAAGUGCUGAAAGCAUCUAAGCACGAAACUUGCCCCGAG
rnacentral:rRNA from 1 species